GCUUACGGCCAUACCACGUUGAAUACACCAGUUCUCGUCCGAUCACUGAAGUUAAGCAACGUCGGGCUCGGUUAGUACUUGGAUGGGUGACUGCCUGGGAAUACCGAGUGUCGUAAGCU
rnacentral:rRNA from 1 species